GAUGAACGCUGGCGGCGUGCUUAACACAUGCAAGUCGAACGAACCUUCGGGUUAGUGGCGGACGGGUGAGUAACGCGUGAGAAUCUGCCCUCAGGAGGGGGACAACAGCUGGAAACGGCUGCUAAUACCCCAUAUGCCGCGAGGUGAAAUGAAUUUCGCCUGAGGAUGAGCUCGCGUCUGAUUAGCUAGUUGGUGUAGGUAAUGGCUCACCAAGGCAUCGAUCAGUAGCUGGUCUGAGAGGAUGAUCAGCCACACUGGGACUGAGACACGGCCCAGACUCCUACGGGAGGCAGCAGUGGGGAAUUUUCCGCAAUGGGCGAAAGCCUGACGGAGGAACGCCGCGUGAGGGAUGAAGGCCUCUGGGCUGUAAACCUCUUUUAUCAAGGAAGAAGAUCUGACGGUUCUUAAGGGAUAAGCCACGGCUAAUUCCGUG
rnacentral:rRNA from 1 species